GACGAACGCUGGCGGCGCGCCUAACACAUGCAAGUCGAACGGAGCUGAGAGAAGCUUGCUUUUCUUAGCUUAGUGGCGAACGGGUGAGUAACGCGUGAGUAACCUGCCCUGGAGUGGGGGACAACAGUUGGAAACGACUGCUAAUACCGCAUAAGCCCACGAUCCGGCAUCGGAUUGAGGGAAAAGGAUUUAUUCGCUUCAGGAUGGACUCGCGUCCAAUUAGCUAGUUGGUGAGGUAACGGCCCACCAAGGCGACGAUUUGUAGCCGGACUGAGAGGUUGAACGGCCACAUUGGGACUGAGACACGGCCCAGACUCCUACGGGAAGCAGCAGUGGGGGAUAUUGCACAAUGGGGGAAACCCUGAUGCAGCGACGCCGCGUGGAGGAAGAAGGUUUUCGGAUUGUAAACUCCUGUCGUUAGGGACGAUAAUGACGGUACCUAACAAGAAAGCACCGGCUAACUACGUG
rnacentral:rRNA from 1 species